AUUGCAGCUCAUUGCAUCAAGCGGAUAAAGGACAAUUAUGAAUUCAAAUUCAACAGAUAGCUUAGAUUGCUGGAAUAGUUUGAAGAGCGGAACAAAAGAAGAGAGUAUAUAUUUUUUUCAGAUUUCUGAGCUCUGGAACCAUUGAAGCCCUUAAGAAAUGUGACGCUGAUAGCAUCAUGUGGUCUACAAGUAGUAUUAGACAAUGGCAUUGCUCGAGUGACAAUAUCUAAACCACGAGAAAUUGUUACUGGACUAGCUUAUAAUGGCAUUGACAAUUUGCUUGAAUCUCGAAAUCUUGAGGACCAUAGAAGCAACAACUUUUCAGGUGAUUAUGUUACAUGAUGAUCAGGUGGAAGUUUUCUUUUGUAGACAGUGGGAUCCUUCACUCAAGGGCAAGUUAUUCCCAUUGAAUAUUGAUAAAAGGUCUAUAAUGCUUCGUGGCUCAUCCAGGUCAUAUACCUAUGCAAUCUAUGAGCAUAUGAAAGAUUGACCGGGCUUCAGCUUGGGUGAAACUAAGGUCACAUUCAAGCUCAAUAAACGGUGGUAUAAAGAAACUGAUUUCUUUGGACAGGUUUCACGGCAAACCAAAUUAAUUAGAAGAAAUUUAGGCAACAAAGCAUGAUAUGUUUAGUCCUGAGGCUGUUCUGUUGACAAGCCCUGUUAAACCAAACAUUAAAGGAGAGAAGAAUCAACCAAAGUAGCAGUGAC